AUUGAACGCUGGCGGCAGGCCUAACACAUGCAAGUCGAGCGGAUGAAGAGAGCUUGCUCUCUGAUUCAGCGGCGGACGGGUGAGUAAUGCCUAGGAAUCUGCCUGGUAGUGGGGGACAACGUUUCGAAAGGAACGCUAAUACCGCAUACGUCCUACGGGAGAAAGUGGGGGAUCUUCGGACCUCACGCUAUCAGAUGAGCCUAGGUACGAUUAGCUAGUUGGUGAGGUAAAGGCUCACCAAGGCGACGAUCGUUAACUGGUCUGAGAGGAUGAUCAGUCACACUGGAACUGAGACACGGUCCAGACUCCCACGGGAGGCAGCAGUGGGGAAUAUUGGACAAUGGGCGAAAGCCUGAUCCAGCCAUGCCGCGUGUGUGAAGAAGGUCUUCGGAUUGUAAAGCACUUUAAGUUGGGAGGAAGGGCAGUAAGUUAAUACCUUGCUGUUUUGACGUUACCGACAGAAUAAGCACCGGCUAACUUCGUGCCAGCAGCCGCGGUAA
rnacentral:rRNA from 1 species